CGAAUUUAUAGCGGUUUCAUGUGAGAAAGCAUUGAAGAGAUUCUAUUGGCUCCAUCGGGAGGCUGAGUACACCUGUCAGCCAAUCAGCUGCGAGUCUGCCUCUGCGCUGAAAAAUCACGGGCCGUCUACAGAUCAAUCAGCAUAUCAUUUUGAGCACGAUUGUGAGCAGAAAGCAAAGGCUGCUUAAAUCUGUCCUCACUCUGCCACCGUCUGGGGAAGAAAAAGACCACAGACAUCUCCAAACCCACGGAUGUGGUUAGCAACAUGACAGUGCAGAAGCCACGUUCCGUUGACCUCCGCCACCAUCUCCAACGUCUGAAACGAUCCUGGGAUCAGGUCAUACACGUCAGUCCGGUGAAUGUCUCGGCGUGAAAAUGGACGGUGUGAAUGUCUGCUUCAUUGCCCAUCCCAAACAGGUACCAAACAACCCUUUCUCCCUCCACCAUUUCUAGACCAUGAAGAUUUGCGUAGAGCUUCCCAUUGAUCCCUGUCAAA